rnacentral:ncRNA from 1 species
GUUUUUUCAGCGUGCUGUCCAGCGGCUUGAUAUAGAGGCUGUUGUUAUUAAGGCUAACGUCGCCUUUGGCGGUGGUCAUUUCACCGUCCAGCGGGAUAUCCAGAUGUAAGCGAGCAUUCACAUCGCCAUCUAACUGCAACUGCUGAAGGGUGGCUGCCAGGGAGUCUUUCAGCGGCGUAUCUUCAAAGUACGGGCCAACCGCUUUACCUGGCCCCUUAAUAUCCGCAUCAAUCAGCAGUUUCUCUUUGGAGUAAUCCGGGAUGUUUGCCGUCAGGUUGCUUGCCGUUACGCCGCCCAGCGCAACGCUGUCCGUCUUCAUCCACAGGCCGUCAUUCAGGAAGUUGAGUUCAAUAUCCAGAUUCUUCAGCGCCGGCCAGUCCGGCUGGAAGGCAUAGGUGGCGUUGCGU